rnacentral:rRNA from 1 species
UAAGACGAACCGCCCGAACGUUGUUCGGAUUCACUGGGCUUAAAGGGCGCGUAGGCGGGCGGCAUGGUCGGGGGUGAAAUCUUUCAGCUCAACUGGAAAAGAGCUUCCGAUACCGGCCGUCUUGAGGGAGGUAGGGGCGUGCGGAACUUCCGGUGGAGCGGUGAAAUGCGUAGAGAUCGGAAGGAACGCCGGUGGCGAAAGCGGCGCGCUGGACCUCUUCUGACGCUGAUGCGCGAAAGCCAGGGGAGCGAACGGGAUUAGAUACCCCGGUAGUCCUGGCCCUAAACGAUGGGCACUAGCUUGCAGGCCUGGCAUGGGCUUGCAGGCGAAGCAAAAGUGUUAAGUGCCCCGCCUGGGGAGUAUGGUCGCAAGGCUG